UUCUAAGUCUAAGUAUAUCCCAUGCCAUAUUUGGGAUAUACUUAGAUUAAAA
rnacentral:pre_miRNA from 1 species